CAUCUGCCCAGCUAACGACGCGGUUGCUUGAAUUUCCGUCGUUUUUCGCCGUUCAAGUAAUUGUUUGCAAUAGCAAAUACAUUGCAAGUAUAUCCCGGCAUGAAUAAUACUGAAUUACGUCCAAUAAUCGGUUCCGGCGCCACCUCUACCAUUUUAUUGCCUUCCUUCCAUAACCCCGGAACAUAACCACGGCAAUAAGCAAAGCUAGUCAUCGAUUAGUUAACAUAAAGGAAUCCGCAGGAAUGUAAUCUGGAAGACGAGAUCCGGCAUCUUAGGAAGUUUUCCAGGAUAAAAAUCGGAUAGCCUAAACCAACGAGUUUUCCCCGGGUGACGGUUUCCCAAGCAGUUUCCCGCUUAUUAAAUGUGAGUUGGUUAAGUGCGCCAUCGGUUCCUCCGGCUGCGAAGGUGGACUCAUGACGCAGAAGGAAAAGUACGUCGAAACUGCAACUGAAGUAUCGACAGAUCAAGAUCGUCUCGGAACAUCUGGAACCACCGCACCGGGCGCUCUAUGCAGUAUGUUUCGUAACAAUUAGUUGUUACUUAAAAGAAAUUGUAAAAAGUAUCCAUAAAAUAAAAUAUUGAAAUGAGUAUUAA